GUGCUCGCUUCGCAGCACAUAUACAAGAAUUUGAACAAUACAGAGAACAUUAGCAUGGGUCCUGCUCAAGGAUGACAUGCAAAUUUGUGAAGGGUUCCACAUUUUU
rnacentral:snRNA from 1 species